GAAGGCUUUCGGGUUGUAAAACUUUGUUGUUAGGGAAGAACAAGUGCUAGUUGAAUAAGCUGGCACCUUGACGGUACCUAACCAGAAAGCCACGGCUAACUACGUGCCAGCAGCCGCGGUAAUACGUAGGUGGCAAGCGUUAUCCGGAAUUAUUGGGCGUAAAGCGCGCGCAGGUGGUUUCUUAAGUCUGAUGUGAAAGCCCCCGGCUCAACCGUGGAGGGUCAUUGGAAACUGGGAGACUUGAGUGCAGAAGAGGAAAGUGGAAUUCCAUGUGUAGCGGUGAAAUGCGUAGAGAUAUGGAGGAACACCAGUGGCGAAGGCGACUUUCUGGUCUGUAACUGACACUGAGGCGCGAAAGCGUGGGGAGCAAACAGGAUUAGAUACCCUGGUAGUCCACGCCGUAAACGAUGAGUGCUAAGUG
rnacentral:rRNA from 1 species